GAAUCUUUACUUGUCUUGUGAUCCUUGUAUGCGUGGUCGCAUGACCAAGCAUGAUAUUCGUUCCUCUGUUUCUUCCUGAAUCAUAUAAAAUAUAAUACCCAGUUGAGCAGACUUCAUUUUGUAUUCAUCUUUUUGUUUUCUGGAAGUUUUGAGAUUUCUUAAUGUAAUUGCUAGUACCCAUUUGACCCUUUGGACCUACCAGCUAAAAUCCAUUGAGAAUUCAAAUCCAGUAUUCUAAUUCCUUGCUGGGUAACAAAAUCAAGGUUCAUAGAAAACUGAGGAAACGACUUCUAUUUUAAGACUUUUAUUAUGAUUUAUAGAAAAUCUUCAAUUAUCUGCUUUUGUUGGUUUUCAAUUUCAGAUAAGGUUUUCAGUUACCUGAUAUUUUGAAAUAUGCAGCCUCUUAAUGGAUUUGGAGUGGUCAAAAUUUUACACAUCCAAAAUACAAGAAAGGAGACUUGGCUUGGGGUUUUAUUGGAUGGGAACAGUAUACUCUCAUGGUAUCACCACAGCUUUUGAUUAAAAUUGAAAAAACUGAUCUGCCCCUUUCCUACUACACUGGAAUUCUAGGUAUGCCGGGUAUGACAGCCUAUGCUGGGUUUUAUGAGGUUUGCUCUCCUAAGAAAGGAGAGUAUGUCUA
rnacentral:misc_RNA from 1 species